CAAAUGACGUAAGAAAUUUGACAUGCUCAAAAAUCCUGCAGAAAUGCAAAAUUGACUGGCCUGAUGAACUCGGGAUGGCCGGGCAGUGAUAGUUGUUCCUUUCCAUCACUCGUUGUGUUGACUUCAUCAUGUCCAUUUUGUGAUGUUUUUUCACUAUAUAAUCAUAUUGCAAGUGCACGUGCAUUUGCAAUAUGUUUCAAUGUGCAUUUACCAUAUGAAAUUUGACCUUGCUCAAAAAUGCAAAAUUGACUGGUCUGAUGAACACAGGAUGGCCGAGCAGUGAUAGUUGUACAUUUCCAUCACUCGUUGUGUUGAUUUCAUCAUGUCCAUUAGGUGAUGUUUUUACACUAUAGAAUCAUAUUGCAAGUGCGCGCGCAUUUGCAAUAUGUUUCAAUGUGCAUUUACCAUAUGAAAUUUGAAAUGCUCAAAAAUGCAAAAUUGACUGGUCUGAUGGACACAGGAUGGCCGAGCAGUGAUAGUUGUACAUUUCCAUCACUCGUUGUGUUGAUUUCAUCAUGUCCAUUAGGUGAUGUUUUUUCACUAUAGAAUCAUAUUGCAAAUGCACGUGCAUUGUUGUGCAACUGGUAACCCAAAAAAUAAAAAUAUGGUUGUAAAUGCAUUUACCGGUCAUUCUGAUAUUAAUGCUCGCUAUGGGAACACAGGAUGGCCGGGCAGUGAUAGUUGUACAUUUCCAUCACUCGUUGUGUUGAUUUCAUCAUGUCCAUUAGGUGAUGUUUUUACACUAUAGAAUCAUAUUGCAAGUGCGCGCGCAUUUGCAAUAUGUUUCAAUGUGCAUUUACCAUAUGAAAUUUGACAUGCUCAAAAAUGCAAAAUUGACUGGUCUGAUGGACACAGGAUGGCUGAGCAGUGAUAGUUGUACAUUUCCAUCACUCGUUGUGUUGAUUUCAUCAUGUCCAUUUGUUUAUGUUUUCUCACUUUUGCAAAGUCACUGUGCAUUUGCAAUAUGGUUCAAUGGGCAGGUACCAUCACGAAUUUGUCAUGCUAUAAAAAUCCUGCAGGAAUGUGAAAUUGACUGGCCCGAUGAACUCGGGAUAGCUGGGCAGUGAUUCUGGUUCAUCUCCAUGGCUCGUUAGGGUUGAUUUCAGAAUGUCACUUUUGGUGAUGGUCCCUCUCCGUUUAAACAUAUUGCUAAUGUACAAAAGUCAACUAGCAAGUCAGUGUCCAUCAGUCAAUUAGAUGUCAUUUUGACACCAAACUGAUACCAAUUGACACCAAACCCACUUUUUCCAACUCAUUUAGAAGCCAACUAUCAUAUAUGUCAGAGCAGGCCCAUAAUUCACAGCGCCUUUAGUUUAAAACAUAAUAAAAACGUAAAACACAUAGUUACGUUCUAGCUGCG